CAAUUAAACUUGAAUUUCCAAUAAACAAUAGGAAUAUUUUAUUGUAUAAGUCUGUACCAUGCAAUACUUGGGACACACUUAUACUAAAAAAAAUCAUUCAUUAUCAGAAAUUUAAAUUUAACU
rnacentral:miRNA from 14 species